rnacentral:rRNA from 1 species
AGAGUUUGAUCCUGGCUCAGAUUGAACGCUGGCGGCAUGCCUUACACAUGCAAGUCGAACGGCAGCACGGGAGCAAUCCUGGUGGCGAGUGGCGAACGGGUGAGUAAUACAUCGGAACGUGUCCUGGAGUGGGGGAUAGCCCGGCGAAAGCCGGAUUAAUACCGCAUACGCUCUGUGGAGGAAAGGGGGGGAUCUUCGGACCUCUCGCUCAAGGGGCGGCCGAUGGCAGAUUAGCUAGUUGGUGGGGUAAAGGCCUACCAAGGCGACGAUCUGUAGCUGGUCUGAGAGGACGACCAGCCACACUGGGACUGAGACACGGCCCAGACUCCUACGGGAGGCAGCAGUGGGGAAUUUUGGACAAUGGGCGCAAGCCUGAUCCAGCAAUGCCGCGUGUGUGAAGAAGGCCUUCGGGUUGUAAAGCACUUUUGUCCGGAAAGAAAACCUCGUGGUUAAUACCCGUGGGGGAUGACGGUACCGGAAGAAUAAGCACCGGCUAACUACGUGCCAGCAGCCGCGGUAAUACGUAGGGUGCAAGCGUUAAUCGGAAUUACUGGGCGUAAAGCGUGCGCAGGCGGUUCGCUAAGACAGAUGUGAAAUCCCCGGGCUUAACCUGGGAACUGCAUUUGUGACUGGCGGGCUAGAGUAUGGCAGAGGGGGGUAGAAUUCCACGUGUAGCAGUGAAAUGCGUAGAGAUGUGGAGGAAUACCGAUGGCGAAGGCAGCCCC